GGAUUCCCUCAGUAACGGCGAGUGAAGCGGGAAUAGCUCAAAUUUGAAAUCUCCGACGCWUGCGUCGGCGAAUUGUAGUUGCGAGAAGCACUUUCUAGGCGGAUCGGUCGUGCCUAAGUUGCUUGGAACAGUACGUCAUAGAGGGUGACAACCCCGUCUGUGGCUCGGCCGGCCGCUCACGAUGUGCUUUCGAAGAGUCGGGUUGUUUGGGAAUGCAGCCCAAAAAUGGUGGUAAACUCCAUCUAAAGCUAAAUACUGACGUGAGACCGAUAGCGAACAAGUACCGUGAGGGAAAGAUGAAAAGAACUUUGAAAAGAGAGUUAAAAAGUACGUGAAACCGUUUGAAGGGAAACGAAUGGACUCAGCAAUGCGCCCUUUGAGAUUCAGCCGGGCGGUUGUGGCGGUCCGGGGCUUGCGGAUCUGAAUGGACCGCGGUCUCGGGCCCGUCGCUUCCGACCGUCGCACUUCUCUUGGACGCGAGUCAACGUCGGUUGGGACUGGGCCUCAAAGGUUCCGGGAAGGUAGGUCCGGACGCUCGCGUUCGGACUGUUACAGCCCGGUUCUCUCGCGGCUCGGGCCCGACCGAGGCGGAUGCAGCACAUGCCUCUUCUGGCUAGGGUCCCGUCCUUCCGGCCGGUUGUCGAAUGCGGUGGACUGCUUGCAGUGCUCUGCGACUGCUGCCGGUCGUUGGGGUGGUGAUCUCGUACCAUGUGCUAAGGACGUUGGCGGUCAUAUGGGUCCAUCCGACCCGUCUUGAAACACGGACCAAGGAGUCUAACAUGUGCGCGAGUCUUAGGGUGCUUGAAACCCAGAGGCAGAAUGAAAGUGAAGACGGCUUCGGCCGCUGAGGCGAGAUUCCGACUCUCGUAGCCGGACGCAUCGUUGACCGACCUAUUCUACUCUUAGGAAGGUUUGAGUAAGAGCGUGUCUGUUGGGACCCGAAAGAUGGUGAACUAUGCCUGAAUAGGGUGAAGCCAGA
rnacentral:rRNA from 1 species